AAGCCCCAGGAUCUGUCUAGAAGGCUUGGCUGGAAGAACGGUUGGCUGUGGGGUUUCCCUGUGGUUGGGGGGGGGAGGGGAUAAACAUCCCUUAGGGGGGGUCACUGACUGGUGUCCAGAAGAGAGUGUGUGAAGCCUGACAGCAUCCCUUGGCUUCCCAAGACACUUCCCUGCUUGUCAUCCUCUGUCAAACAGCCACGCCUCGAUGUAUGAGCAGGUGUGGCUGAUGAAAUGGCUCUUCCUCAGUAGCCUAAUGGUUCCUCGCUGCCCCUUAAAGCUUAUGGUGGUGAGAGAGAGCGUUGAUGUUCUGGUGACUCCUCUAGUUCUGUUAGCACGCUUCACCCAGGGUGGGUUAACGUCUGGUGGGUAGGCCAGGUACCUGCAAGACUGCCAUAUGGAGUGUCAACCAAGGAGGACACUCUGGCUUUGGCCCCAGCUUCUGGGACAUGGGUGCUGAACAUGGAGGUUCUAUAGUCCAUCAAAUGCCAGAGCCUCGGGGUUUUCACACUUCCAGCCGGUCUGUGAGUGACAGUGGGUGUGUUUUGCCUACCAGGCCUGGUCUCCACAGCUCCUUCCUGCAUAGAGCUUUGCAGGCAUGGUCUUAUUUAAUCCUCUCCAUAGCCCUGUGAAAGUUGCUCAGGACAAACCAUGUAUGGGGUCAAAUAUAUGAGGCUUCAAAAAUUGAAAUUACACACAAAAAUGACUCCUAUUCAACUGGCCAUCUUGGCUUAAGAGGCCUCUCUGGGUCAUGCCUCUUUCCCACCAGGUCUAGACUUCUGACAGGGGCCCCAAGUGUAUCCAAGGAUGUAAUCUGCAUCUCAGGCCAUGAAAGCCCAGUAUCCUGCAUUGACCUUGUCAGGUCACAGGGCCCUGGCAACCUGAGCUGGCCACGGGCAUCCUAUUGUUGAGGUUUAGUCCAUUGCUAUUGUAAUGCCGAAUUCUCUAUCUGAAGGUCUAGGCUUAGGCGUGACUUCUCAUGUUUACAAGUUUUCGUUGUGCAAACUUUGUUUCUUGAUUGAAAGCUGGAGGGAUUAGAGAUAGGUGAAUGUGGGGGGAGGGGGGGGGGGGGGGGGGGGGGGGGGGGGGAGAGACAAGGGAAAAAGAGGAAGAACAAGGGAGAAGGAGGAGAAAGCCUCAUGAGGGGAGGGGAACCAUGAGCACGGGACCAGGAGAAACAGCGAGUACCUGGGGUACACCGCAGGGGAGGUAGCCAGGCCAGCAGUUGGAGGAGUAGAUUAAAGGUCACCUCCCCAGUAACCGUCAAAGCCAAAUAAAAUAACCAUAGUCUGAGUCUCA
rnacentral:lncRNA from 1 species